AACAAUGCAUUCAAUUAAAAAUUAUAUGAAAAGGGAGUGAUCUAAAUACAUUAACAACCAACUAAGCUAUGCACUAAUUCUUCAGAAUACUUUUAAACUUUCCACAUCUAACUACAAGACACUUACUAGAAAAUUUGAUCUUCCAUCAGAUGGAACUCAACACAGCUUUCAGAACAAUGCUAACAUUAUCCAACAGAAUGUAAUGCAUCAAACAAAACUCAGUGAAUAAUAAAAAACUAAGCUAAUGAGCAGGGGUAACUCGAAGAUGUGUUUGAAAUUCCAAUUUCAUUUCAUACUUCAACCACUUUUCACAUGAUACAAGAUUCAAGAACAAGUACCUGGAAAUGGAAAAAUGAAGACAAGAAUGAAACAGCAGUAAACAGUAACAGACCAGCAAUCAUCAGUAACAGAAAUCUACCCAGAUUAAACCAGAAACCAGAAAUAAUGUCAAUCCAGAAGAAGGAAAUCCAUCACCAACUUAAACCAGAUCUUUACUAGCCAAGUUCAAACAAUUUUUCAACCUCAAAUAGAAUCAAAUAUUGUUCAGAAAAUGAAAAAUUUAAAAUUUCAAAGCAGAAAUCUCAAUGAAAUAGUGCUUUUCAAUUUUUUCAGUCGCCUAUGAUUUUUCCAGAAUUUUUCUAUCUUCAGCUCUUAAAAUCUUCCUUGAGAGGCAAGUUUAGAAUGCUUUUAUAGGCAAGCAAAGUAGGGCAAACUUCAGAUUUUUAUUUUUACCCUUUUCUCCUUUUUUGAAUUUUUAUUUUAGCUUAGGUUACCCUAGUGUAAAAGUUUUAAGUUCAGAAUAGUCCCUUCCCCAGCUUCCUAGAAGCUUCCUAGGCAGUUAUUGAGAGAUUCUCUAAACUAAUUUCCCCAAAUUACCCCAAAACAACCCUGAAAUUUACUUUGAAAUCUCAUGGGUCAAAUUUUGACCCAAUGGUUCAGGAAUGGGCCUUCGAGAACCUAAUAUGAAUCCUUUCUUUUAUUAGGCUUUCAAUUUCAAGAGAAAAAUUCCCAUUAACAACCAAGAGACAUUACUGCCUUACAGAAUCACAAUGACUCAUCAAGAUUAAGGCCCUAAGGAAAAAAUAAACAAAUAAAAUAUUCAAACAAAGUCUAACACCGAACAUAAUCAUACUGACUAAACACAUUACUAACGUGUAUAAAGAUAUCCCUGAAGAAACUAGAAAAAUGAGGAGGAAUCAAGAAAGAAAGAAAAAUAAAAAGGAAAACAAGAACAGAGAAAAGAAGAACAACAUCGAACCAAGGAGAGAAAAGAGAGGGAAAAAAUUCCUAACAACGCUUGGACAAAAGAAAACAGGGCCCGAGUCUUUACAUCUCUCAAAUUUUGCCAAAAUAUAAUAUUAAUCAUGUAUUCUUAUAAAGAACCCACGAAUAAUAUUGAAUUAGAACAAAAACCUUGGUUUGGGAUUCUAAGGUUCUGCUUUGAUCCCAUAUUCGAAGAUCUCAGAGGUGAUUUGGAAAAACUGGUCAUGGAACAAGGUAGAGGAGAUGAAGGAUAUGCUAGGGUGUAAAUUUAGGGUUGGACAAAGGCGGCGGCGCCACCGAAGAAACUGUGGUGGAGCUAGGGUUUGCAACUUUGAUAUGAUAUUCAAAAUAUUCAUGCAAGGUAUGAGGGAAAACAAUUGUGGAUUCAGAUGAGAAGGUCAGGGUGAGCUCGUGAUGUAAAUUUGGAGGUCAUUGGAGACUUUCUGCUGCCGUGGGCGAUUUCCGGCAGCAGUGUUACAGCGGAAGGGUUUGGGGAUGGAGAUAGUGGGAGAGAGGGGGUCUGAAGGGGGCCGG
rnacentral:lncRNA from 1 species